GAGUAUGGGACUAACUUAACUAAACUAGCAGAGGAGGGUAAACUGGAUCCAGUUGUUGGAAGACAGCCUCAGAUCGAACGAGUGGUCCAGAUCUUGGCUC